rnacentral:rRNA from 1 species
UACGAAGGGGGCUAGCGUUGUCCGGAAUCAUUGGGCGUAAAGCGCGCGUAGGCGGCCCGGUAAGUCCGCUGUAAAAGUCAAAGGCUCAACCUUUGAAUGUCAGUGGAUACUGCCGGGCUAGAGUCCGGAAGAGGCGAGUGGAAUUCCUGGUGUAGCGGUGGAAUGCGCAGAUAUCAGGAGGAACACCAACGGCGAAGGCAGCUCGCUAGGACGGUACUGACGCUAAGGCGCGAAAGCGUGGGGAGCGAACAGGAUUAGAAACCCGAGUAGUCC